rnacentral:rRNA from 1 species
UACGGAGGGUGCAAGCGUUAUCCGGAUUCACUGGGUUUAAAGGGUGCGUAGGCGGGCAGGUAAGUCCGUGGUGAAAUCUCUGAGCUUAACUCAGAAACUGCCAUGGAUACUAUUUGUCUUGAAUGUUGUGGAGGUAAGCGGAAUAUGUCAUGUAGCGGUGAAAUGCUUAGAUAUGACAUAGAACACCAAUUGCGAAGGCAGCUUACUGGGCAAAUAUUGACGCUGAGGCACGAAAGCGUGGGGAGCAAACAGG